UACGUAGGGUGCGAGCGUUAAUCGGAAUUACUGGGCGUAAAGUGUGCGCAGGCGGCGUCGCAAGUCGAGUGUGAAAGCCCCGAGCUUAACUUGGGAAUUGCGCUCGAAACUACGAUGCUGGAGUGUGGCAGAGGAAGGUGGAAUUCCACGUGUAGCGGUGAAAUGCGUAGAUAUCGGGAGGAACACCUGUGGCGAAAGCGGCUCACUGGACCACAACUGACGCUGAGGCGCGAAAGCUAGGGGAGCAAACAGGG
rnacentral:rRNA from 1 species